AAACAUGGCAGCCUAAUAGCGUAUGGGUUCGAAUUAACACCGAUAGGAGAGCUUCGGCUUGUGAAAUUACUUUUUCCAGGUUUUCAACUUCCUAAUGCACUGCUGGUUGAAAUAAAGCGAAAAUGCUUUCGUAUUGCAUCACUUAGGGCUUCCCUUAAAACCGAGGAGCGUGGAGGAACGCCAACCAAACUUUUCCAGAGUGGUGCAGCGUUUUCCAAAUGUAUUUCUGAGCAGAACUGUUGUUGGUAACCGAACGGUGCUUUAGGUUGCGCGUCAGCUUUGCGGGCUGCGCAGAUGCCUUUUUAAUUCUUUAAAAUUUCUGCUUGACAUUCCCCCAGGGUUUUUAUCUAAGUGAGGAUCCGAAAAGUGAUGCAACCUAGAAGACCAGGUUGAUGGCAGCUCCUCCACUCUGUGUCCUUUCUCUGUACUACCGUAAGUUAGGAAAGAAUGUGGUCGCCUGGGUUCUUUAAUGUGAUUUAUGGACUCUUGUAAGAAUGGCAUCACCUUGUGGUUGACAAACCUGCAUUUGCCUCUGAAUCACCUGGGAAGACAGGUCCACACAACCCCAGGCAACACUCCAGACUCCGCAUCAAGGAAGAAGGCAAUAGAAAACGAAUACAUCUCCUUAAAAUCACGCCACUGGCAGGCUGGAAGGCUGAGGGUUGCCCCUGGGGCAGUGGACGGAGACUCAGAACUUCCUGCCCUGGAGAAGCAGCCCUGGAGGACCAGGCAGGCAGGUGAUGGAGGUGGAACACUGCCAGUGGGCUGGAAACUCUCCCCAAAGCUUCAGGUGAAACCAGAAGCAGGCUGGGCAUUGAUGGUGUCGACAGCCUCUGCCACAGGGCCCAGCUGUAAGCAGUCAAGCCAGGAUUGGAACGGGGUUAAGUGUGGAGCCCACGUGCCUAGCCUAGGACUUCCCUGUGGCAUUUGAGGCCGUGACAUAGGAGGCUCAAGGGCUAUUUCUACUAGACAGUGCUAUUCCGGAGGACUCCCCCAUCCCCAGAGACCCAGACACAGACAUUCACCACUUAGCCCAAAGUGGUUAAUGCCGUCGGAUUGGUAUUUAUCAAGGGCCAACCUGAUCGUGUUCUUUGCCUGCUUGAAACCCC
rnacentral:lncRNA from 1 species